GUUUGCACUUAUCGGGGAAGGGUGAGAACCUUCGAUUAAGGUUCGACUCGAGCGAAAGCGAGAGAACGUUGCCAACGGCAACGGCCCG
rnacentral:sRNA from 2 species